AGUUGCGCCCGAAGCCAUUCGGCCGAGGGCACGUCUGCCUGGGCGUCACGCAUCGCGUCGCCCCCGACCACGCCUCCCUCAUGGGGAUGCGUUCCAUCAGGGGCGGAGACUGGUCUCCGUGCCCACGGCGCGGUUGGCCUAAAUAGGAGUCCCCUUCGACGGACGCACGGCUAGUGGUGGUUGUCAAGGCCUUCGUAUCGAGCCGUGCGGACGCAAGGGAAACGCUCCUCAAAGACCCCAACGUGUCGUCUUGCGACGAUGCUUCGACCGCGACCCCAGGUCAGGCGGGACUACCCGCUGAGUUUAA
rnacentral:rRNA from 1 species